UACGUAGGGUGCGAGCGUUGUCCGGAAUUACUGGGCGUAAAGAGCUCGUAGGUGGUUUGUCGCGUUGUUCGUGAAAACUCACAGCUCAACUGUGGGCGUGCGGGCGAUACGGGCAGACUGGAGUACUGCAGGGGAGACUGGAAUUCCUGGUGUAGCGGUGGAAUGCGCAGAUAUCAGGAGGAACACCCGUGGCGAAGGCGGUUCUCUGGGACGGUACUGACGCUGAGACGCGAAAGCGUGGGGAGCGAACAGG
rnacentral:rRNA from 1 species